UACUGCAGCCAUCUUUGGUGGAUAGUGCCAAGGAAGGAAAAGAGAAAUUCAUGUUGUUGAAAGACUUUCUUUUCCAGUCUCUAUUAUAAAGGAAGGAGGUCUCUCUGAAACAAGUCAAGAAAAAUAUGAAAAUUCUGGAUCAUGGCUAAUCAUAGGAACUGGAAGGGAAGCAUGGAAGGUUGUUGAGAAGAAAAAACAACUGUACCAAGAGUGCGAAGAAAGACAGCUGAGUUACCACCAGUAUCUGGUUCAAUGAUCCAGCGUGUGAUGGGAGUUAGAGAAGAGUCCCAGAAGGGCAUUUGAAGUGUGAGAGUACAGAACCCCUGUGCUGAAGAUCUACUCUGCUCACAUAUACAAGGUACCUUAUGGGCAGGAGUGUGUGAAGUCCCAGUACUUCCUGGGGUCAGCAGUUGGAAAAUCUACAGUGUCUUGCAAGUCUCAUUCCCCAAGAAGAUGUUUUACCUUCAGGAGAGGUGUUGAUUGAGGUUGUGUAUUGAAUAACUUGAACAUACAUUUAUUGUUUGUCCUUGAAGGUAAUUUUCAGACAUUUUCAUGCUCAAUGUUUUCACAAUAUUAAUAAUGUAAGGAGCAGCUCAGUUGAAGCAUGUUCCUUGUAGACAUUUCUGCAUGCUGUGCUAUGUGU